AUACGUAGGGGGCGAGCGUUGUCCGGAAUGAUUGGGCGUAAAGGGCGCGUAGGCGGCCCGGUAAGUCUGGAGUGAAAGUCCUGUUUUUAAGAUGGGAAUUGCUUUGGAUACUGUCGGGCUUGAGUGCAGGAGAGGUAAGUGGAAUUCCCAGUGUAGCGGUGAAAUGCGUAGAGAUUGGGAGGAACACCAGUGGCGAAGGCGACUUACUGGACUGUAACUGACGCUGAAGCGCGAAAGUGUGGGGAGCAAACAGGAUUAGAUACCCUGGUAGUCCACACUGUAAACGAUGAAUGCUAGGUGUAGGGGGUAUCGACCCCUUCUGUGCCGCAGUCAACACAAUAAGCAUUCCGCCUGGGGAGUACGGCCGCAAGGUUGAAACUCAAAGGAAUUGACGGGG
rnacentral:rRNA from 1 species